rnacentral:misc_RNA from 1 species
GAUGAAGAACGUAGUGAAAUGCGAUAAGUAAUGUGAAUUGCAGAAUUCAGUGAAUCAUCGAAUCUUUGAACGCACAUUGCGCCCCCUGGUAUUCCGGGGGGCAUGCCUGUCCGAGCGUCAUUACAACCCUCCAGCUCAGCUUGGUAUUGGGCCCCGCCGACCCGGCGGGCCCUAAAGUCAGUGGCGGUGCCGUCCGGCUCCGAGCGUAGUAAUUCUUCUCGCUCUGGAGGUCCGGUCGUGUGCUCGCCAGCAACCCCCAAUUUUUUUCAGGUUGACCUCGGAUCAGGUAGGGAUACCCGCUGAACUUAAGCAUAUCAAUAAGCGGAGGA